rfam:Candidate division WOR-1 bacterium RIFOXYC12_FTLL_54_18 RifOxyC12_full_WOR_1_54_18_curated_complete, whole genome shotgun sequence.
GGGGGAGGCUGGACGGCUACUCUGAUCGCGCGAGCGUAUUGGGGAGGAAAGUCCGGACUCCAUCGAGCGGCGUGCUGGGUAACGCCCAGUUGGGUUUAAACUCAAAGGAAAGUGCAACAGAAAUUACACGGCCGAACUUAACCCUAAAGGUUAGGUGGCAAAGGUGAAAACGGGAGGUAAGAGCUCCCGACGUAACAGACCGGCGACGGUCACGUUGUAAACCCCACGCGGAGCAAGAUCAAAUAGGGAAAGAGGUUGCUCACCUCGCUAUGAUCCCGAGUAGAUCGCAUCGAGGUCGCCAGUAAUGUCGGCCCCAGAUAGAUUGCCGUACACGACAGAAUCCGGCUUACAGGUCUCCCCCCUAU